CCCUUAGAUGUUCUGAACCGCACGCGUGUUACACUGAUGCAUUCAACGAGCUUUACCUUGGCCGAGAGGCCUGGGAAAUCUUUUUAGCAUGCAUCGUGAUAGGGAUUGAUUAUUGCAAUUAUUAAUCAUGAACGAGGAAUUCCUAGUAAACGCAUUUCAUCAAAAUGCAUUGAUUACGUCUCUGCCCUUUGUACACACCGCCCGUCGCACCUACCGAUUGAGUGGUCCGGUGAAGUCUCGAGAUUGUGGCAAUCUCCUUUAUUGGAGUUUGACUGCGAGAACUUGCCUAAACCUUAUCACUUAGAGGAAGGUGAAGUCGUAACA
rnacentral:rRNA from 1 species